rnacentral:lncRNA from 1 species
GACAACUAGAGGCCUUUGGGUGGGAUUCAGAAAUUUUGAUAUGUUGUAGUUUGCACGCAUGAUGAUUACUUACAGAUAUAAAAUGAAAAAUGAACAAAAAAGGACACAAUUUUGCAACUACCUGUGGAACUCAUCUACACUUGGCUUCAGAACACAAGACGACUAAACACAAGAUGAAUAAAAGAUGAGGUACACUUAAAUACA